CAGGCCAUCAGACUCCAAACAGUCAUGCAACUGGAGCCUUUGAGGAUGACCCCUUCUGCCGGGGACCCUUAGGUCAGCCUCUAGAGAAGCUUUGACUGCUGUUUCCCCAAAACAGCGCCCCCUGCCAUCAGGAAGCAGAGAACAAGAAGAUUUACACUAGCCAUGCAAGGAAUCUUUGAAAGUCUAGCAGACCUGACUUGAAGAGAAGGCUCUAAACAAGAAAUUCUUCAUUCUGGAACAGUGAUUCUUAAAGUGCGGUUCAGAGACCCUGGGAGACAUUGACAUUCUUUCAGAGUGUGAGUGAGGAUUUCCUCUUUGCAACUACAAUCUGUGUAAGGUUGGAUUUUCUUUACAUACAUAAACUAAAAUAAGAUUGCAAUAAGAUGAAUGCAGAAGCAGAUAAGAGAAUCCAGCUGUCUUAAGUUAGACUUCACAGAGAUUUGCAAAAAUCCAAACAAGACCACUCUUGUCAUUAAAGUUAUUUUCCAUUUGUUAUGGUGAACUUAUUUUGCAGGAAAUUUGUUAUUUAUAGUAACAUACAAUUUUGUUUUUUGAUCAUUUUAAAUAAAUUAAUAAAUAUUCUAAGUUUUCUAUUUUUAAAAUUAUACAUGUCAGAACAGUUCUUUCAGGUCCUCAACAAUUUUAAGACUAUUAACUUGUUUUGGAUCAAAAAGUUCUAGAUUUGCUAUUCUAGACAUGAAUCCUUUGAAAUUAAUUGGCUUCAUAAGUAUAUUUUUCAAGUUUGUGGCUUGUCCUGUACCCUUCUACUGUGUAGAAGUUUUAAAUUUUAAUUUAAAGAAAUUUAAAAUUGUUUCCAUUUUUGUUUGUGCUUUUGGUG
rnacentral:antisense_RNA from 1 species